ensembl:snRNA U6 U6 spliceosomal RNA
GUGCUCACUUCAGCAGCACAUAUACUAAAAUUGGAAGGAUACAGAGAAGAUUAGCAUGGCUCCUGCACAAGGAUGACAUACAUUCGUGAAACAUUCCAUAUUUUU